GGGGCUGUAGCUCAGCCGGGGAGAGCGUCGGUUCGGCAGACCGAAGGCCGCGGGUUCGAGUCCCGCCUGCUCCA
rnacentral:tRNA from 1 species